AACCAGCUCUUCAAGUGGUCGGGAUAAUUAUUGGGCUUAAAGUGUCCGUAGCCGGUUUAGUAAGUUCCUGGUAAAAUCGGGUAGCUUAACUAUCUAUAUGCUAGGAAUACUGCUAUACUAGAGGGCGGGAGAGGUCUGAGGUACUACAGGGGUAGGGGUGAAAUCUUAUAAUCCUUGUAGGACCACCAGUGGCGAAGGCGUCAGACUGGAACGCGCCUGACGGUGAGGGACGAAAGCCAGGGGAGCGAACCGGAUUAGAUACCCGGGUAGUCCUGGCUGUAAACGAUGCAUACUAGGUGAUGGCACGGCCAUGAGCCGUGUCAGUGCCGUAGGGAAACCGUUAAGUGUGCCGCCUGGGAAGUACGGUCGCAAGGCUAAAACUUAAAGGAAUUGGCGGGGAGCACCACAAGGGGUGAAGCCUGCGGUUC
rnacentral:rRNA from 1 species